rnacentral:sRNA from 1 species
AGUGCGCUAGGGAUUGCAGUGGAUAGCUUUUUGUCCCGCCAAUGCGGGGAGCCAAAACUAGUAACGUAAAGCCCGACCCUUG